AUUGAACGCUGGCGGCAGGCCUAACACAUGCAAGUCGAGCGAGCGGCGGACGGGUGAGUAAUGUAUGGGGAUCUGCCCGAUGGAGGGGGAUAACUACUGGAAACGGUGGCUAAUACCGCAUACUAUCGGAUGAACCCAUAUGGGAUUAGCUAGUAGGUGGGGUAAAGGCUCACCUAGGCGACGAUCCCUAGCUGGUCUGAGAGGAUGAUCAGCCACACUGUGAUUGAGAAACGGCCCAGACUCCUACGGGAGGCAGCAGUGGGGAAUAUUGCACAAUGGGCGAAAGCCUGAUGAAGCAAUGCCGCGUGAAUGAAGAAGGCUUUAGGGUUGUAAAUUACUUUCAGCGGGGAGGCGUUACCCAAAGAGGAAGCCCCGGCUAACUCCGGGCCAGCAGCCGCGGUAAUUC
rnacentral:rRNA from 1 species